UACAGAGGGUGCAAGCGUUAAUCGGAAUUACUGGGCGUAAAGCGUGCGUAGACGGUAGCGUAAGUCGGGUGUGAAAGCCCCCGGGCUCAACCUGGGAAUUGCAUUCGAGACUGCUCUGCUAGGGUGCGGAAGAGGGAAGCGGAAUUUCCGGUGUAGCGGUGAAAUGCGUAGAUAUCGGAAGGAACACCAGUGGCGAAAGCGGCUUCCUGGUCCAGCACCGACGUUCAGGCACGAAAGCGUGGGGAGCAAACAGG
rnacentral:rRNA from 1 species